rnacentral:rRNA from 1 species
UGGGGAAUUUUGGACAAUGGGCGCAAGCCUGAUCCAGCCAUGCCGCGUGUCUGAAGAAGGCCUUCGGGCUGUAAAGGACUUUUGUCGGGGAAGAAAAGGCUGUUGCUAAUAUCAGCGGCUGAUGACGGUACCCGAAGAAUAAGCACCGGCUAACUACGUGCCAGCAGCCGCGGUAAUACGUAGGGUGCGAGCGUUAAUCGGAAUUACUGGGCGUAAAGCGGGCGCAGACGGUUACUUAAGCAGGAUGUGAAAUCCCCGGGCUCAACCCGGGAAUUGCGUUCUGAACUGGGUGGCUAGAGUGUGUCAGAGGGAGGUAGAAUUCCACGUGUAGCAGUGAAAUGCGUAGAGAUGUGGAGGAAUACCGAUGGCGAAGGCAGCCUCCUGGGAUAACACUGACGUUCAUGCCCGAAAGCGUGGGUAGCAAACAGGAUUAGAUACCCUGGUAGUCCACGCCCUAAACGAUGUCGAUUAGCUGUUGGGCAGCCUGACUGCUUGGUAGCGAAGCUAACGCGUGAAAUCGACCGCCUGGGGAGUACGGUCGCAAGAUUA